AAAGACUUGACGGUACUUCACAACAACCUAGAGGAGCCUGUCCAAUAACCGAUACUCCACGAUUAACCCAACCCACCCUAGCCUAACAGUCUAUAUACCGCCGUCGCCAGCUUACCUUGUGAAAGAAAUAAAGUAAGCAAAAUAAACCCCAUUAAUACGACAGGUCGAGGUGUAACUUAUGGGUGGGUAAAAGAUGGGCUACAUUUUCUAAUACAGAAAAUACGAAUAAACUAUGAAACUAGAAACUGAAGGUGGAUUUAGCAGUACGGUAAGAAUAAAAUACUUAACUGAAACUAACGCAAUGAAGUGCGCACACACCGCCCGUCAUCCCUG
rnacentral:rRNA from 1 species